GACGGAGGGUGCAAGCGUUGUUCGGAUUGACUGGGCGUAAAGGGCGUGUAGGCGGUCGGCCAAGUCUGAUGUGAAAGCCCGAGGCUCAGCCUCGGAAGUGCGUCGGAAACUAGUCGGCUGGAGCGCGAUAGAGGAGGGUGGAAUUCCUGGUGUAGCGGUGAAAUGCGCAGAUAUCAGGAGGAACACCGAUGGCGAAGGCAGCUCGCUGGGACGGUACUGACGCUGAGACGCGAAAGCGUGGGGAGCAAACAGG
rnacentral:rRNA from 1 species